rnacentral:rRNA from 1 species
CGUAAGCGCACGCAGGCGGUCUGUUAGUCUGAUGUGAAAUCCCCCGGCUCAACCUGGGAAGUGCAUUGGAAACUGGGAGCUUGAGUCUUGAAGAGGGGGGUGGAAUUCCAGGUGUAGCGGUGAAAUGCGUAGAGAUUUGGAGGAAUACCGGUGGCGAAGGCGACCCCCUGGACUGAAACUGACACUGAGGCGCGAAAGCGUGGGGAGCAAACAGGAUUAGAUACCCUGGUAGUCCACGCCGUAAACGAUGACUAUUUGGAGGUUGGGGCCUUGAGGCCCGUAUUGCUGAGCUUACCCGUUUAAUCAAUCCCCCGGGGAAUACCGGCCCCAGGAUUGAACUUCAAUGAAUUGGCCGGGGGCCCCCCCAACGGGGGAACAUGGGGUUUAAUUUCAAGCCACCCCAAAAACCUUUCCUGGGCUUGACCUUCCCAUAAAUUACUGUAAAUAUUUUGGUGCCUUUUCGAACUGUGAGACAAGUGGUGCAUGGUUGUCGUCAUCUCGUGUUGUGAAAUGAUGGGUUAAUUCCCCCACA